AGGACGAACGCUGGCGGCGUGCUUAACACAUGCAAGUCGAGCGGUAAGGCCUUUCGGGGUACACGAGCGGCGAACGGGUGAGUAACACGUGGGUGAUCUGCCCUGCACUCUGGGAUAAGCCUGGGAAACCGGGUCUAAUACCGGAUAUGACCUGCUCUCGCAUGGGGGGUGGGUGGAAAGAUUUAUCGGUGCAGGAUGGGCCCGCGGCCUAUCAGCUUGUUGGUGGGGUAAUGGCCUACCAAGGCGACGACGGGUAGCCGACCUGAGAGGGUGACCGGCCACACUGGGACUGAGACACGGCCCAGACUCCCACGGGAGGCAGCAGUGGGGAAUAUUGCACAGUGGGCGAAAGCCUGAUGCAGCGACGCCGCGCGAGGAUGAAGGCCUCGGUUGUAACCUCUUCAGCAGGACGAAGCGCAAGUGACGGUACCUGCAGAAGAAGACGACCGGCGUAACCUACGUAGCCAGCAGCCGC
rnacentral:rRNA from 1 species